GUUGCCUCUAAAAGGCCUUAGGGAUGAGCUCACUCCUUGCUCAUUCUUGUCUUUUUCCUUUCUUGGAAGAUUGAUGAUGCAUUGUAUAUGGGUUGUCAUCCUUGGAGCUUGUGGAGGCCGAAAAUCGAGAAGGAUGGGAAU